AUACGGAGGGUGCAAGCGUUAUUCGGAAUCACUGGGCGUAAAGGACGCGUAGGCGGGUUGGCAAGUCAGAUGUGAAAUCCUACAGCUUAACUGUAGAACUGCAUUUGAAACUGCUAACCUAGAGUAUGGGAGGGGGAGAUGGAAUUAGUGGUGUAGGGGUAAAAUCCGUAGAUAUCACUAGGAAUACCGAAAGCGAAGGCGAUCUCCUGGAACAUAACUGACGCUAAGGCGUGAAAGCGUGGGGAGCAAACAGAAUUAGAUACCCUAGUAGUCC
rnacentral:rRNA from 1 species